GCUAGGCGCUGUGGUGCACACCUGUAAUCCUAGCAGCACAGGAAGCUGAGACAGGAGAAUCAAAGUCAGCCUCAGCAACAGCGAGAUGCUAAGCAACUCAGUGAGACCCUGUCUUUA
rnacentral:sRNA from 1 species